GAUGAAGAACGUAGCGAAAUGCGAUAAGUAAUGUGAAUUGCAGAAUUCAGUGAAUCAUCGAAUCUUUGAACGCACCUUGCGCUCUUUGGUAUUCCGAAGAGCAUGCCUAUUUGAGUGUCAUGAAAAUAUCAACCUUGACUUGGGUUUUGUGCUCUAGUCUCGGCUUGGAAUUGGGUGCUUGCCGCUUUUACGAGCGGCUCACCUUAAAUGUAUUAGCUGGAUCUGUCUUUGAGACUUGGUUUGACUUGGCGUAAUAAGUAUUUCGCUAAGGACAUUCUUCGGAGUGGCCUCGUUUCUAGGACGCUUGUCCGCUUUCCAAUACAAGUUCCACCUCGUGGACAUGACUUUUUAUUAUCUGGCCUCAAAUCAGGUAGGACUACCCGCUGAACUUAAGCAUAUCAAUAAGCGGAGGA
rnacentral:misc_RNA from 1 species